GGUAGCCGGCCUGAGAGGGUGUCCGGCCACACUGGGACUGAGAUACGGCCCAGACUCCUACGGGAGGCAGCAGUGGGGAAUAUUGCACAAUGGGCGCAAGCCUGAUGCAGCGACGCCGCGUGGGGGAUGACGGCCUUCGGGUUGUAAACCUCUUUCAAUAGGGACGAAGCGCAAGUGACGGUACCUAUAGAAGAAGCACCGGCCAACUACGUGCCAGCAGCCGCGGUAAUACGUAGGGUGCGAGCGUUGUCCGGAAUUACUGGGCGUAAAGAGCUCGUAGGUGGUUUGUCGCGUUGUCCGUGAAAUUUCACAACUCAAUUGUGAGCGUGCGGGCGAUACGGGCAGACUGGAGUACUGCAGGGGAGACUGGAAUUCC
rnacentral:rRNA from 1 species